rnacentral:rRNA from 1 species
CAGCCGCCGCGGUAAUACGAAGGGUGCAAGCGUUAAUCGUAAUUACUGGGCGUAAAGCGCGCGUAGGUGGUUUGGUAAGAUGGAUGUGAAAUCCCCGGGCUCAACCUGGGAACUGCAUCCAUAACUGCCUGACUAGAGUACGGUAGAGGGUGGUGGAAUUUCCUGUGUAGCGGUGAAAUGCGUAGAUAUAGGAAGGAACACCAGUGGCGAAGGCGACCACCUGGACUGAUACUGACACUGAGGUGCGAAAGCGUGGGGAGCAAACAGGAUUAGAUACCCCCGUAGUCCCUGUCUCUUAUAC